ACUCUGAUAAGUUCAAUUGCAUAGUGAAAGAAGUGGCUCUUUUAUAUUUUGAUAUUUUGUAUUUUGUCACUUUUGGCCUCAAUUAUAUAUAUGUGUAAUUGGAACUCAUAUAUUUUAUUAAGAAAUUUGUAAUAAUUUACUUCGUUGCAUACAAUUUUUAUCAUGUACUCAUAAUCUGUUUAUGUAUCUAGCACCUUUAUGCCUUAAUUUGCAUUGGAGAUAUCACAG
rnacentral:lncRNA from 1 species